CAAUGUGACCCAAAUUUAAACAUAUCUUCUUUCUCUCUCCCUUUCGGGCUCAACUUCUUUCUCUCUUUAGGUCUCUCUUUCUUUCGGUCUCACUCUCUCGGCCUCUCUCGCUCCGUCUCUCUCUUUCAGUCUCGCUCUCGGUUCUCUAGCUGUCUUUCUCUUUUGGUCUCUUUCUCUCCCCUUUCUCUCUUGGUCUCUCUCCUUUCUCUCUCGGUCUCUCUCCUUUCUCUCUCGGUCUCUCUCCUUUCUCUCUCGGUCUCUCUCCUUUCUCUCUUGGUCUCUCUCCUUUCUCUCUCGGUCUCUCUCCUUUCUCUCUCGGUCUCUCUCCUUUCUCUCUUGGUCUCUCUCCUUUCUCUCUCGGUCUCUCUCCUUUCUCUCUCGGUCUCUCUCCUUUCUCUCUCGGUCUCUUUCCUUUCUCUCUCGGUCUCUAUCCUUUCUCUCUUGGUCUCUCUCCUUUCUCUCUCGGUCUCUCUCCUUUCUCUCUCGGUCUCUCUCCUUUCUCUCUCGGUCUCUCUCCUUUCUCUCUCGGUCUCUCUCCUUUCUCUCUCGGUCUCUCUCCUUUCUCUCUCGGUCUCUCUCCUUUCUCUCUCGGUCUCUCUCCUUUCUCUCUCGGUCUCUCUCCUUUCUCUCUCGGUCUCUCUCCUUUCUCUCUCGGUCUCUCUCCUUUCUCUCUCGGUCUCUCUCCUUUCUCUCUUGGUCUCUCUCCUUUCUCUCUUGGUCUCUCUCCUUUCUCUCUCGGUCUCUUUCCUUUCUCUCUUGGUCUCUCUCCUUUCUCUCUCGGUCUCUCUCCUUUCUCUCUUGGUCUCUCUCCUUUCUCUCUUGGUCUCUCUCCUUUCUCUCUCGGCCUCUCUCCUUUCUCUCUUGGUCUCUCUCCUUUCUCUCUUGGCCUCUCUCCUUUCUCUCUUGGUCUCUCUCCUUUCUCUCUCGGUCUCUUUCCUUUCUCUCUUGGUCUCUCUCCUUUCUCUCUUGGUUUCUCUCCUUUCUCUCUUGGUCUCUCCCCUUUCUCUCUCGGUCUCUCACUCACUCUCUCUCUCCAAAUGA
rnacentral:lncRNA from 1 species